ACUAAUGCCAAAUUCAUGGCGGAUUUUGAUGUCUCUCGAAGUCCUUUGUGAAAGGCACAAGAUAACACUUGGGGUGGCUGACUUGUUGAGAGCUUACUACUUGAAGGCACACCUUAAUGACAAAGGUAGGUACCAGUUAACAACUAGGGGGAAGGACCCUCCUUUAAUUAUUAGUUUGAAGAGUGAAGAUAAGAGGUGGAAGGACCGUUACUUCUUCGUCCCUUUCGUCUCGUUGGGGUUACCUGCUGAUAGUAGGAUACCUUGUUCAUGGUCUCCUGCAUGUAGGCUUCGAGUUGAGUACCUUUGGGAUUCGAGGGAGUCUUCUGGUCGACUUAAGAGUAUUCUUGCUAUUCCUGAGGCGGAGCGUGAGUGGAGUGAUUUGUUGUCUAAAUCGAGUCUCCGUCAGAGUUCUUUGUGGCGCUCUGUUGAAAAACUCCCUGAACGUAUUCCUCUUCUACAGAGUCCUGAUAAUCCUCGUGUUGUGUUUAUCAAGAGAAGUUUAGAAGUCUUGGGAUAUACUCCCAAUUUUUUGACUGAAUUGACGACAAGUGAGCGGUUGUUUGCAGACGUAGCUAUGUCCCGACCCUUUACACUUCCUCUAACCGGUUCCAAUGCCUUGGAACGUUUGCGUCAAGCAAAGAAAUCGUCCGUUGGGAGCUCAGAAGCUGAUAGAGAGGUUGUCGUGCCUCCGGCUGAUCCCCCUGUUUUGACGCGGAGUCAGACGAAAAAAAAGAAGAAGGCUGUGUAGGAUGAUUCUUCCGACCCAUUUAGCAACACCGUUGCCCUUUCGUUCCCUUCCAAUGCUGCGGCCUAUAGUGAGAUUGGGCCUCACUUAGGAGAGAUUGAUAAGUUGUUGUGGCCCGAAGAUGAUCACAGAAUGGAGCAGGUUGGUACGGAUGGGUCAAUUGAUACCACUGUUUCUCAUUUGUUCCAGGGUUUGCAAGGGGUCAUUUGGCUGAAGAAGAAAAUCAAGUCCUUAAUGGCAACUCUAAAGGAAGUAAGGAGUCAGAGAAAUGAUCUUCGGGGUGAAGUUAGUCGGCUGAAAGAUUCCAAGAAGGAGUCUGAUCAACUCAUAGCUGAUUUGAAGGCUCAACUAGAAUCCAAGGAAGCUGAUGUCGAGAAGCUGAGAGUGACUCUUGGUCAAGUUGAUGAUUUGAAAGCCGAGGUUGCUUCGUUGGAGAAUCGGAUGUUGGUCAUUGGGCUGGAGGCUGAGAUCCAAUGCCGUGGCGUAAUGGCCAGUGAGUUUCGGGAUGGUAAGGCUGAUAGCUGGGAUGUUCCCAAAUACAUUGCUGAUCUUGAAGAAUUGGAGAAGAUGAGGGCUGAAGAGAUAACCCGGGCCGAAGAGUUAGCCACUUCUUUUGGCAUCAUGACUACUAAUGAUCUGGUUGUGGAUGACUGAUUCCUCUUCUACUCGUGUUCAUUGUCGUGAGAUAACAGAGUUUGUCGGGCCUUUUCUAGUUGUUGUAUGAACUUUUUCUUAUGUAGUAUUGUAUCCUGAUCUAACUGACCUAGUUUUGUUGUAUUAUGGCUUGUUGUAGCUUCUGUUAGUGUUUUUUAAGUUAUUGUA